UUAACUUAUUUAUAACUUUAAGUGAUUUUUGACUAAUUGAAUAAACAAACGUUUAAUUCGUGGAUAUGUGGAUCUGAAUCCAGAGGUUGUGUACCCUUCAAGUUUUUCGCGUAGGCCGCACUGUCCCACCAUUCACGUGACCAGAAAUCCUGUUCUUCUUACCAGAGUCACGUGCUGCCCUUAGCAUGUGUCGUGAGCCGGCAGUUGCUGCUUUGAGUCCACAUGAGUACAUGACACAUAAUGGAGCCCGACCUAACGGCAGCAGAAAUCCGAAUACGACUCGGCUCGUGACCAUUUUAAUUUGUAUAAAUUUAAUUCGAAAUAUUUAAUAUAAAUCUGAUAAUAAUAAUUAGAUAUGAUUUAGGGUUUGGAUUUAAUUAGGUUCUCAUAUUUCAAGACAUUGCGAUGUUUUUAUAUUAUUCUAUAGUUGCAGAACAUACGUGGUCUACGGUACUACAGUAAAUAUGUGGAAUACAUGAAAUUUUGUUCUAUAAUUUUAUACUUCAUUUGUUCCAUAUUAUUUGAAGCACUUUAUUUUUUGGAUAUCCAAAAAUAAUGAACUUUUUAUUUGUAACAUUUUUUUAAGACUGCUAUUACAAUCACGCAAUCAUAAAUUACACUCAUUUAAUAAUCCAUCUCUCCCAAAAUAAGUGUUGUUUUAACUUUUUGCACGUAAGUUGAGAGGUAAAAAAACAUAUUUUCAUAUAUUAAUAUUUUUCAAGUUUUCUUUUUCUAAAUAAAGAUAUAGAUGUUAAAAUUUUAUUCAGAAUUUUUUUUUGAAAAAUAACACGUAAAAGUAUGUGAUUUUUAUAUCUCACAUUACGUAUAAAAGGUUAAAAGCCGCGCUAGUCAAACAAACUCAAAUAAAAUGAAACGGGGGGAGUAACAAGUUAAACCUUGUUUCAAAAUAAAACAAUUUAAACAGAAUAAAUAUCCUUGAUUCUAACAUAUUUAGAUAUGAAUCGGUCAAUAAAAAAUUAAGAUCAAUCCGAUCAAUAUUUGACAUACUAGGGGGGUGUUUGGUCUAGCUUAAAAGCUUGGCAGCUUGGCUUUUGAGUUUAUAAGCUAAAAACAUUUAUUCGUACCGUUUGUAUAAAAAAUCAAGAGUUAAUUAUAAUAAGUUGAGAAUGAAGGGGCCUCUUGGGCAAAUUUUAAAAAAGUAAUUUCUUACUAAAAAUAUAGAAAUAGAUUAUAAAUUAGUCAAACCGAAACCAUAAACCUCCUUUCGAUUUCAGUUUGGAUCGAAUUUAUAUCAGAAUUUUUUAUGCGGAUUGUGCGGUUUAAACCAGACCGUGAUAAUUCCUACUAAUACUCCCUCCGUCCCAGUCAAUAGUAUACAUUGGGGGACGGGGGCGCGGCACGGACUUUAAUGCUUCAAUAUAGUAUAGUUCAGUAAAUUAUUUUUAAGAUUUUCUUUUUUUUAUAAAAAUAUAACAUUUAUACUUUUAUACAAAAAAAGAAAAUUUUAAAAAUAAGUUGUAGAACUAUGUUUUAUAAGAGCCUUAAAAAGCGUGUCGAGCAGUGAAAAAGAAACGUAUACAAUUGACUGGGACGGAGGUAGUAUAUAACAUUUCAUUCGAUAACGUCAUGAUGAUAACUGACGGAAAACGUUAAUUGUCAAACUUUGUGUCCCAGUGUAACCAAAACUAUGUCGAUAAAUAUGAUCUGUUUGAUAAAUCAAUUUAGAUAUGAGUUUAAACAUAUCUAUAUACUAUUUAUUAUACAAUUAUUUAUAUUUAUUAUAACGAGUAAUUCUUCACUUUCACCACGCAUUUCACUUACUUUAAUAAUGUUUGUCGUAAUCCAAAAGAAAAUUUACAUCCCCAAUCUUUCAAAUAAAAUAAUACAUUUGAUCUGUAACAACUUUAAGAUAAUGACGUAAUAAUUAUAACAAGCACCAUCGGUAGUAAUAAUUAUAUACUACCUGUGUACCAUGAUUCCUUUAAGAUGUCAUAAAAAUCAUAUUUAAAUAUACUUAUUUUCUAUUAAACUUAUACUCCCUCCGUCCCUUUGUUUACGUUCACAGGAAUGACAGUUUUAUCCGACCCGAUGGAUAUCUGACCCGUUCCGACCCGAUUGGGUCUACCUGAACUCGAUUUUUUUGGAUCUGGAUCUUAUUUUUAGACUCGAAGAAAUUUGGAUCUGGAUCUCAGGUAUUCCGAACCGAGAUCCGACCCAAAACCCGAAACCCGAUUUAAACACAAUCCGAACACGAAACUCGAUAAAACUCGAUACAAAAUAUUAUAUAUAUAUAUAUAUAGGAGUAAGAUCCUAAGAGAACCCAAAUUAUCAAGAGAACUAGAGAACCACCCUAUCUGCCGUUGAUUAAAAAUCUCAAUAUCUUUACAAUAUCUUUACAAUAUCAAUCAAAUCUAGUGAGGUUGGGGGUAUUUUUGUACUAUCAAAAAUACAAGAAAUCAAUUACAAUUGAUUACCUUUUUUAAUGAGAUUUAUUGCUGUCUUUAUUUAUCUUAAAAUAUUGUUCAUUUCUGUAUAGGAUCAACGCAAAAUCACAAUUCUUUUAGCUUCUUUUUCACAUCAAACAUAAUAUACAAUGCAGAGUGAAGAUAUGGACAAUGCUCGUGAUGAUUCCGUCGAAGUUCUGGAAAACAAUGGUGAAGCUGUGUACUCUCUCUAUACCCAGAACUGAAAGUUUAAUUUAAAAGACAGGAGAUGGACGUUAUAGGUGAAGAUGAAGCCGUUGGCAACCUUAAAUCUCUCAUGGAUUCAGAACCUUCAAUCUCUCAUGUUGAAAGCUUACGUUUUUGCAGAAUUCAUCUAGAUAGUUCAUUGAUUAAACUUGGAGAUGUUAUGAUAUAUGUGGUGUUAAAAUCAAUUUGUGAUAGUAUGUUUACUAUCAAAUUUCAUCACAUGCGUGAUGGUUUACUGUGAUCAUUUACUUGUAUGCAAGGAGAUCGGGAGAUCAGGUGUUUUAAUGUUUAUAGUUGGGAGCUUUGGGUACCA